UCCUAUGGAUGAGAGAAUUAGAUUCCUGAA
rnacentral:piRNA from 1 species